rnacentral:rRNA from 1 species
GAGCGAAUGGUUAAGAGCUUGCUCUUAUGAAGUUAGCGGCGGACGGGUGAGUAACACGUGGGUAACCUGCCCAUAAGACUGGGAUAACUCCGGGAAACCGGGGCUAAUACCGGAUAACAUUUUGAACCGCAUGGUUCGAAAUUGAAAGGCGGCUUCGGCUGUCACUUAUGGAUGGACCCGCGUCGCAUUAGCUAGUUGGUGAGGUAACGGCUCACCAAGGCAACGAUGCGUAGCCGACCUGAGAGGGUGAUCGGCCACACUGGGACUGAGACACGGCCCAGACUCCUACGGGAGGCAGCAGUAGGGAAUCUUCCGCAAUGGACGAAAGUCUGACGGAGCAACGCCGCGUGAGUGAUGAAGCUUUCGGGUCGUAAAACUCUGUUGUUAGGGAAGAACAAGUGCUAGUUGAAUAAGCUGGCACCUUGACGGUACCUAACCAGAAAGCCACGGCUAACUACGUGCCAGCAGCCGCGGUAAUACGUAGGUGGCAAGCGUUAUCCGGAAUUAUUGGGCGUAAAGCGCGCGCAGGUGGUUUCUUAAGUCUGAUGUGAAAGCCCACGGCUCAACCGUGGAGGGUCAUUGGAAACUGGGAGACUUGAGUGCAGAAGAAGGAAAGUGGAAUUCCAUGUGUAGCGGUGAAAUGCGUAGAGAUAUGGAGGAACACCAGUGGCGAAGCGACUUUCUGGUCUGUAACUGACACUGAGCGCGAAAGCGUGGGGAGCAAACAGGAUUAGAU